rnacentral:rRNA from 1 species
UAAUACGGAAGGUCCAAGCGUUAAUCGGAAUUACUGGGCGUAAAGCGCGCGUAGGUGGUUUAUUAAGUUGGGUGUGAAAUCCCCGGGCUCAACCUGGGAACUGCAUCCAAAACUGAUUCACUAGAGUACGAUAGAGGGAGGUAGAAUUCACAGUGUAGCGGUGGAAUGCGUAGAUAUUGUGAAGAAUACCAAUGGCGAAGGCAGCCUCCUGGAUCUGUACUGACACUGAGGUGCGAAAGCGUGGGUAGCGAACAGGAUUAGAUACCCUGGUAGUCCACGCCGUAAACGAUGUCAACUAUCUGUUGGAAAGCAUUGCUUUUCGGUGGAGCAGCUAACGUAAUAAGUUGACCGCCUGGGGAGUACGGCCGCAAGGCUA